CGGUUAAACAGGAGUCAAACGGCACUCAGAGAAGAGUUCGGUCAGAGAGGUGCCCAGCAUCGUGACACUGAACCAGGUUCAACAGGAGUGAAUCAUGGUGGAGGUUCAACAGGAGUGAAUCAUGGUGGAGGUUCAACAGGAGUGAAUCAUGGUGGAGGUUCAACAGGAGGGAAUCAUGGUGGAGGUUCAACAGGAGUGAAUCAUGGUGGAGGUUCAACAGGAGUGAAUCAUGGUGGAGGUUCAACAGGAGUGAAUCAUGGUGGAGGUUCAACAGGAGUGAAUCAUGGUGGAGGUUCAACAGGAGUGAAUCAUGGUGGAGGUUCAACAGGAGUGAAUCAUGGUGGAGGUUCAACAGGAGGGAAUCAUGAUGGAGGUUCAACAGGAGUGAAUCAUGGUGGAGGUUCAACAGGAGUGAAUCAUGGUGGAGGUUCAACAGGAGUGAAUCAUGGUGGAGGUUCAACAGGAGUGAAUCAUGGUGGAGGUUCAACAGGAGUGAAUCAUGGUGGAGGUUCAACAGGAGUGAAUCAUGGUGGAGGUUCAACAGGAGUGAAUCAUGGUGGAGGUUCAACAGGAGUGAAUCAUGGUGGAGGUUCAACAGGAGUGAAUCAUGGUGGAGGUUCAACUGGAGUGAAUCAUGGUGGAGGUUCAACUGGAGUGAAUCAUGGUGGAGGUUCAACAGGAGUGAAUCAUGGUGGAGGUUCAACAGGAGUGAAUCAUGGUGGAGGUUCAACAGGAGUGAAUCAUGGUGGAGGUUCAACAGGAGUGAAUCAUGAUGGAGGUUCAACAGGAGUGAAUCAUGGUGGAGGUUCAACAGGAGUGAAUCAUGGUGGAGGUUCAACAGGAGUGAAUCAUGGAGAUUCAACAGGAGUGAAUCAUGGAGAUUCAACAGGAGUGAAUCAUGGUGGAGGUUCAACAGGAGUGAAUCAUGGUGGAGGUUCAACAGGAGUGAAUCAUGGAGGUUCAACAGGAGUGAAUCAUUAAAGGAAAGGGAAAAUCUAGUCAGUUACACAGCUGAAUGCAUUCAACUGAAAUGUGUCUUCCGUAAUUAGCCCAAAACUUUUGAAUCUUAAUUGAAUCAUUAUGCAUGUUUAAUAAGAGUGAAUCAUUAUGCAUGUUUAAUAAGAGUGAAUCAUUAUGCAUAUUUAAUAAGAGUGAAUCAUUAUGCAUGUUUAAUAGGAGUGAAUCAUUAUUAAUCUUUAAUAGUGCAUGCUGCUCACUUAUCGAUACUGACAAAAGUUACUCGCUGUUUAACAUGAGUUUUCACAAAUCAAGUCUGACAUCAUGCUUUCUGGGAGAGCAGUAAAUUCAUCGGAGGAAACGUUGAAGUGCUUGUAGUGCUGUGGAGAUAUGCCAGACAGAACAAUGGUGUCUCUUUACUGUGGGGCAACACUGCCCUCUGGUGGUGGACAGGGGAAAUGACCACUUCAAUAUUACCAGGUCUUGGAGGACAUACACACUUAACUUAAGCCCCAAUUCUUUUGUUGUUGCCUGCUUUAGUUGUAGAUUCUACAGUUACUGAUAAAAAACAGCAGAGAUAACGGUCUGUCUUUACAGGAGUCAUUAAAAAGCACAAGUUAUUUGUUGCUUUAAAAACAGCAGAGAGCAUCUCCACCCCCAGGUGCAGCUCUCCAUACAGACAGUGUGUGAGACUCCCAAAUUAAACCCUAUUCC
rnacentral:lncRNA from 8 species